rnacentral:rRNA from 1 species
GUGAGGAAUAUUGGUCAAUGGGCGAGAGCCUGAACCAGCCAAGUCGCGUGAGGGAAGACGGUCCUAUGGAUUGUAAACCUCUUUUGUCGGGGAGCAAGGCCACUCACGAGUGAGUGGAAGGAGAGUACCCGAAGAAAAAGCAUCGGCUAACUCCGUGCCAGCAGCCGCGGUAAUACGGAGGAUGCGAGCGUUAUCCGGAUUUAUUGGGUUUAAAGGGUGCGUAGGCGGACUGUUAAGUCAGCGGUCAAAUGUCGGUGCUCAACGCCGGCCUGCCGUUGAAACUGGCGGUCUUGAGUGAGCGAGAAGUAUGCGGAAUGCGUGGUGUAGCGGUGAAAUGCAUAGAUAUCACGCAGAACUCCGAUUGCGAAGGCAGCAUACCGGCGCUCAACUGACGCUGAGGCACGAAAGCGUGGGGAUCAAACAGGAUUAGAAACCCUGGUAGUCC